rnacentral:rRNA from 2 species
GAAUUCCGCGAAUCAUCGAGUCUUUGAACGCAAGUUGCGCCCGAGGCUUGUCCAAGGGCAUUUCCGCUAGAGCGUCACC